rnacentral:rRNA from 1 species
AUUGAACGCUGGCGGCAGGCCUAACACAUGCAAGUCGAACGGUAACAGGAAGAAGCUUGCUUCUUUGCUGACGAGUGGCGGACGGGUGAGUAAUGUGUGGGAAACUGCCUGAUGGAGGGGGAUAACUACUGGAAACGGUAGCUAAUACCGCAUAAUGUCGAAAGACCAAAGAGGGGGACCUUCGGGCCUCUUGCCAUCGGAUGUGCCCAGAUGGGAUUAGCUAGUAGGUGGGGUAACGGCUCACCUAGGCGACGAGCCCUAGCUGGUCUGAGAGGAUGACCGGCCACACUGGAACUGAGACACGGUCCAGACUCCUACGGGAGGCAGCAGUGGGGAAUAUUGCACAAUGGGCGCAAGCCUGAUGCAGCAAUGCCGCGUGUAUGAAGAAGGCCUUCGGGUUGUAAAGUACUUUCAGCGGGGAGGAAGGGAGUAAAGUUAAUACCUUUGCUCAUUGACGUUACCCGCAGAAGAAGCACCGGCUAACUCCGUG